rnacentral:rRNA from 14 species
GUUAAGUGACGAAGCGUAUACGGUGGAUGCCUUGGCAGUUAGAGGCGAUGAAGGACGUGUAAGUCUGCGAAAAGCUGUGGUGAGCCGACAAAAUGCAUUUGAGCCACAGAUGUCCGAAUGGGGAAACCCACCCGCAAGGGUAUCACAUACUGAAUGCAUAGGUAUGUGAGGCGAACCUGGGGAACUGAAACAUCUAAGUACC